UGGAGUGGAAGCAGCAGAACCGGCAGCGCGGGUCGGGCCAGGUCGCGGUGGAGGAGCUGCGGCUGCGGGCUGCCGGGCGCCAGAGAGCGCUUUGUGCGGGAGCGCUGAAUGGAGUUGGGCUGUGUGCGGGCGGGCUGGCACGGAUUAGCCUGCUUUCCCAUGAACUACAAAAGAAUGCUCGAAUCUGGGGCAUUUGUCAUCAAGGGGCAGGCUGCGCAGGAUGCAAGAUUUAGUUGGUGCAUUGCAACCUGGCCUCAGCUGCAGCCCCAAAGGUUGAGAGCAAGAUAGAGGCAGCCACACUUGGACCUCAAGGAUAUGCUCUUUCCCCUGACCUGCCAGGGACAAAUGGCUCAGAAGGAUGGCCUCACCCAGCCUCACCUCUGGAUGCCCAGCAGGAAGAAUCUCUCUCCUCCUCCCAACAGUUGCAACUCGAGGAUUCCUGGAGCCAAGAAGUCGGAUCCAACCUAGGAAACAUCUUUAAAACUAAGGUCCUAGUACUGAGCUCCUAAAACACCUUGGAAUUUCCUGAGUGGAGGAGGUAGUGAGCAAAGUGAUAAGGAAGCUAGUUAAUAUGCUUCGUAAAGACCCUAAACCACAGGCUUUGGAGAACUUCCAGGUUGGUGAACACAGAGGAGCUGUGAGGGUCAAGGCCCCAAGGAACCUCACAGCCCUUCCCCUAUACCUGACUCUAUGCAUCCCUUCCUUCUGGCUGUUCCUGAGUUUGUGCCCUUCUCAGUGAACCAGUAAACAUGACCAAGCUACCUACCCCAAGGAGGAUGAAUGUAGGGAACUCGUGAUUUAUAGCCAGUCAGGCACAAGUUUGGUAGGCCAGUACAAAACCAGCAAUCUGCAGUGUGGACAGUCCUGUGGGGCCCGGGGGCUUGUGCUAACUCUGGGAAGCCAGUGUGAAGAUGAGUCAAACUGAAGGACACACUUGGAUGGUGUGAGGAAGUAUCCCUCUGCACCCUUUUGUCAUCAGCACUGAAGUGUAUGUGAGUACAGAGAAAGAAAUCUCUAGGGCGUUGGAGUAAGGUGUAGUGACUCUGUUUCCGGUUUGUUUGUUUUCUCACUAUGGCCCCCAGACACUCUUCUUUCUAACUCAAUGUCCUUCCCUGGUGCCAAGCCUUCUCCUGAGGUUUCCCCACACUAUCCUUGUCCUGGGAGCCUAGAGUUUAAUGUGGCCACCCGACCCCCACGCUGACACAAUGUGUGAGUCCACUGGUGUCUGCUUGGAGUCUGUGUAGGCAAAGGAAGGGCAAGAGGGAGGUUGGAGGGUGGAGGAGGGCUGGUCUUCCUCUCCUGAGGUGAAGGGUGGGCACAUCUUGCCUCUCCACGGCCACAAUGGGAAGUGUUGUGUUGGUGGCCUUGACCUUCUAUUAUUUUUAAGCAGCUGUAGCCGAACAAAAGACAAAUGAAAACUUUCUGUGGCUGACAUUGAAAAAAUUGCUGGCAUGUCAUAUGGUAACUCAUUAAGGAAUUCCCAUUCAUCAAAACAAUUCAUUUUUGUUUCAAGAGGCAAAAUAAGCAGUUUCUUGCUGAUUUCAGUGUCAGCCUCUCUGACCACUUGUGACUCUGGCUCAUUUGCAGUAAUUUUUAUUCUUAAAUUUCAAGAGCCUUGGGGGCCUGUUUAGAAUAGCUGAAGUCAAAUUCGGCUAUUUCACUUAGAUAAAUCCAUGUGAUCUCAUUUCCCUCUUUAUGUUUUUUUUUCUUUUACAAUUCUAAUCUCCAAGACUAGCAUUUAAUCAUUUUUAAAAGAUGGGUAGAUACACACCACGUGGGUUCUUUUUUUUUCUUCCAGAAAUUGAAAUAUACCCAAAGAAUUUGAGUCCAUCACUGUACUGUGCGUAGGAAAAUGGUCUCUGGGUGAUUUUAAAAUGCUCUCCUAAUGAGCGGAAUUGUCUCAGAGUUUCUCAGAAUCCUGGGCCUUAAUUAAAUUUUAUAAAUGUUCAGUUUGUAAAAUCUGUCAUUAUAAAGCAUAUGUAGUUUGUGUUUGUAGCUACAUUUGAUUAAGCACCACAGAAAUCCAACUUUGCACCUCCCGCUUAACAUUUUUUUCCUCAAGAGUCUUUAGUCAGGAUUAUUUCCCAAUCACUGAUUUUAUACUCCUCAUCUCUGUAGGCUCUAUCUCUCAGAAGUCUCCGUUCUCCAUCCUUCCCCCCAUUUUCACUCCUGUAAGCCCUGCUCCCUUGUCAACCUCUCAGUGUCGGCUCUCAUCCGUCACUAUUAUUCUCUUUUCUCCCUGGGUAGAUCAGGGAGAGGCUCAAAACCCUGGCCGAGGCCAGGUGAGCAUUUAAAUGUGCCAGCAGGGAACAAUGAGAAACAAAGGCAAGGCCCGUGCUGGAGCAAGGGGAAACUGGAGACUUGUGAGGGAGAAGGUCCCUCUGCUCACCUCCAGCCCAGGCUCCGAAAAGAUUUCCAAACUGGAAUCUCCAGACCCCACUUCCAAGACAAGCCCACACUUCAGACUUUAGUAAAUAAAUAAAUACAUACAUACAUACAUAAAUAAAUACAUAAAAUAAAAAUAAAAAUAAAAAUUCUCAGCUUUAGAAACUACAGUUCUUUAAAAAACCUUAAGAUCACUGUCCUUAAAAGCCAACAAAUAUCCUAUCAUCCUUGGGAAUUCUUUUACUUGAGUGUUAAAAUGUACUAAUUGUGAGAGACUGAUUUUCAUCCCUUGCAUGUGCUUGUCUGAGGAUUUUGCAAGUUCUGGUAGUCAUCUGGUAAACUCAUGUUGGUGAGCUUGCUGCUCCUCAAAUGGCCUUUCUGAACCCAGGACCAGAGCUCCUGGGGAAGGGUGAACGACUGCAAGUUUCCCUGGGUGUGAGGUUUCCCUUUGGCCUCAUGUCAAGCUCAGGAGGUCAAGGAAAGGUGGGUGAGAAAGAAAAAACACAUCCUUGAACAUUCACAUCCAGGUACACACACACACACACACACACACACACACACACACACACACACACACAUACACACACACACACACACACACAGAUUCACACCCAUAUACCCAUGCACAUUCACAUCCAAGCACACACACUCACAGAUUCACACUCAUAUACUCAUGCACAUUCACAUUCAAACACACACACACACACAUACACACACACACACACACACACACACACACACACACACACAGAUCCACACCCAUAUACCCAUGCACAUUCACAUACACACACACAUACA